rnacentral:lncRNA from 10 species
AUGACUUAAUUGGUCAGGGGUGAGGCUUGAGCUUUAAUUGUUUUUCAAAAUGUCCCAGGUGAUUUUAAUGAGCAGCCAGGCUUGCCUGCUCUGACUUUUAGGAUUAAUUCCAGACUCCUGAGUGUGGUUUAAAAGGCCCUUCGUAACCUGGCUUGCCCCUCUGGUCUCGUCCUCCCAACCCACGCUCAUUUCCUCUGCUCCGAGAUACAGAACGCACCAGGCGACACUGUCUUUAAGCUUGGAAUGUUCCUCCUUUCCAUCUGCCUGGCAAAUGUUGAGUCAUCCUUUAAGUCUAGGCUGAAGGAUGUUCUUCCCUAAGAAGCAUUCCAGAUUCUUGCUUACAUAUCACAUUUAAAGGCCCUGGCCGAUUAUCCAAGCUCCUGUAUAGCCCAUGCCUGCCACCAUCUUUGUGUUUGGGGAUUGGAGGUGGCAUUUAAAAAUGCCAUCAUGAAGCUGGGAGUGGUGUUUCACGCCUGUAAUCCUAGCACUUCAGGAGGCCGAGGCGGGCAGAUCUCUUGAGGUCAGGAGUUCGAGACCAGACUGGCCAACAUGGCGAAACCCCGUCGCUACUAAAAUUGCAAAAAUUAGCCAGGUGUGGUGGCGCAUGCCUGUAAUCCCAGCUACUUGGGAUGCUGAGACAGGAGAAUUGCUUGAAUCCCGGAGGCAGAGGCGCAGAGAUCGCACCAUUGCACUCCAGCCUGGGUGACGAGUGAAACUGUCUCAAAAAAAAAAAAAAAAAAAAAAAAAAAGCUAUUGUGUGAUAUUUAAUACAUUAAAAAGGCAUAAACAAUAAAACAAAUGCCUAUGUUCCCACCACCCAGCUUAAAAAGUAAAACUUGACCAAUCAUUUGAAAUGUGUGUUCCUAAUUGCAUCCCCACCAAGGCUAGCCCUGGACUGAAUUUGGAGGUUAUCAUUCUCAUGCAUUUCUGAACAUUUGACCUACGUAUGUAGAACCACAUAGAGCAAGAUAGCAUCUUAAAUUGCAUUUGUUUAAACUUAUAUAUGUAUAUAACUUUCUACAGCUUGUUUUUUUCUUCUUGAUGUUAUUUCCAUGCGAUCCUUCCAUAUUGAUAUGUGUAGCUCUGCUUCACUCUUCUUGCUAUUGGGUUUUAUUCUGUUGUUCUUGUUUCUCUUGUUGUGGCUUAUUUUAUUUAUUUAUUUUUUGUGUUUUUUUUUUUUUGUGAGACAGAGUCUUGCUCUGUCACCCAGGCUGGAGUGCAGUGGAGCAAUCUCGGGUCUCUGCAACCUCCGCCUCCCAUGCUCAAGUGAUCCUCCCACCUCAGCCUCCUGAGCAGCUGGGACUACAGGCUCCUACAGAUGGAACAAGGUUAGUGCAUGACUAGAGCAACUUACAAGGCAAAUAUAGCAUUAACAUGGCUGUGACUAAUGAUGACAAUAUGUGCCACCACCUCAUCACCAGGAAUCUGAGCCAGCCAUGGCACCUUCUGGAUUUUCUUGGCCCGCUUAUUUGGCCCCAGUUUGUCAGAAUGUUCCCUGUCAACAUCACCAAGUGUUGUAGCAAAACACAAUCAAUUUCAAAAUGGGACUUGAAGAAGAUGGCUAGUAAAUCAAUUGGAUUUGUAUUCUCUCGCUAUUUCAUUAAGUAUCCAGACAUCUAAUCCCAU